rnacentral:lncRNA from 1 species
AAAUCAGAAGCCUACAAUAGGUACCCAAAUAGGUACUCCAGUAGGAGACACCUCAAAUAUAACAAAUUCAAAAAUAGGAGUUUUGAAACAAAUAGAUUUUACGAGAAACCCAAGUUCAACAAGUGGAAGAGGAAACUCUCAGAAAAAUUCCACUCUAAAAACUAAGAACAAAAAGGGAAUUGCUACAAAUGUGGUAAAUUCGGUCAUUAUGCAAAUAAAUGUAGAGUUAAGAAAACAAUCAACCAAUUGAAAAUCUCUGAAUAAGAGAAAACCUAGCUAAUCCAAGUCUUAGAAUUAAGAGACAUAGACCAUAGUCAAUCCAAAGAUGAUUUAGGUUCUAAUUCGUCUUCUUCCAGUAAUUAUUCAGGUAGUCUUUCAUUCCCCUACAUUAAGAUAGGGUGUACAUAUGCUUGUUGUAAAAAGAUUCCAGUCCUUAAUAAACAAGAAGAACAAGAGGAUCUUCUUAUUGAGUUAAUCAAUAAAGUAGAUGACCCGGAGUAAAAAUCAUUUUAUUUAAAAAAGUUUAAGAAGCUAGUCUCCCAAGAAGAAGCCAGUACUAGUCAACCACAAGUAACCCCAAAAAUUUGUCUUAGCACAACUCUAGAAAGGUUUAAUAAGGCUAAGAAAGAAAUUACGGUCAAAGACCUACAAAGAGAAGUCAACAAAAUUAAGGAAGAAAUUAAGUCCUUAAAAUCUGAAAACAUAGAAAUUCACUCACAUCUCAUUGGUAUCUAAACACAAGCACUCCUUAGCAAUAAUGAUGAAGAACAAAAUAGUUCUUCCUCAAACCAAGAAUCAGAAUCCAAGUCCAUAGAAAAUCCAACAGAAAACCUAGUUUUAGGAUUACUACAAAAAAUUAGGAUCCAAAAAUGGUAUUUAUUGGUACUAUAUUAUAUUGGGCCUCGUUAUUUGGGCUUCUAGACAUUGAGCUCAUGAUUUAUGUAAAAGGGGA